GACGAACGCUGGCGGCGUGCUUAACACAUGCAAGUCGAACGGAAAGGCCCUGCUUUUGUGGGGUGCUCGAGUGGCGAACGGGUGAGUAACACGUGAGUAACCUGCCCUUGACUUUGGGAUAACUUCAGGAAACUGGGGCUAAUACCGGAUAGGAGCUCUUGCUGCAUGGUGGGGGUUGGAAAGUUUCGGCGGUUGGGGAUGGACUCGCGGCUUAUCAGCUUGUUGGUGGGGUAGUGGCUUACCAAGGCUUUGACGGGUAGCCGGCCUGAGAGGGUGACCGGCCACAUUGGGACUGAGAUACGGCCCAGACUCCUACGGGAGGCAGCAGUGGGGAAUAUUGCACAAUGGGCGGAAGCCUGAUGCAGCAACGCCGCGUGCGGGAUGACGGCCUUCGGGUUGUAAACCGCUUUCGCCUGCGACGAAGCGUGAGUGACGGUAAUGGGUAAAGAAGCACCGGCUAACUACGUG
rnacentral:rRNA from 1 species